AAAGCGAUAAACACACCGCCUGGGGAGUACGACCGCAAGUUUAAAACUCAAAUGAAUUGACGGGGACCCGCACAAGUAGUGGAGCAUGUGGUUUAAUUCGAAGAUACGCGCAGAACCUUACCAACACUUGACAUGUUCGUCGCGACUUUAAGAGAUUAAAGUUUUCGGUUCGGCCGGACGAAACACAGGUGCUGCAUGGCUGUCGUCAGCUCGUGUCGUGAGAUGUUGGGUUAAGUCCCGCAACGAGCGCAACCCUCACUUUUAGUUGCCAUCAUUUAGUUGGGCACUCUGAAAGAACUGCCAGUGAUAAGCUGGAGGAAGGUGGGGAUGACGUCAAGUCCUCAUGGCCCUUACGUGUUGGGCUACACACGUGCUACAAUGGUAUCUACAACAGGAAGCAAGACGGCGACGUUUAGCAAAUCCUUAAAAGAUACCUCAGUUCGGAUUGCACUCUGCAACUCGAGUGCAUGAAGCUGGAAUUACUAGUAAUCGUGGAUCAGCGUGCCACGGUGAAUGCGUUCCCGGGUCUUGUACACACCGCCCGUCACACCAUGGGAGUUGGUUCUACCUUAAGGCAAGGUUUCAAACCCUUGACCACGGUAUAGUCAGCGACUGGGGUGAAGUCGUAACAAGGUAACC
rnacentral:rRNA from 1 species